rnacentral:rRNA from 1 species
GAAGGCUGAAAUUCGCCUUCAUGAAGUCGGAAUUGCUAGUAAUGGCAGGUCAGCAUACUGCCGUGAAUACGUUCCCGGGCCUUGUACACACCGCCCGUCACACCAUGAGAGUUGGGAAUACCCGAAGCCUGUGAGCCAACAAACGAGGCAGCAGUCGAAGGUAGAAUCAAUGAUUGGGGUGAAGUCGUAACAAGGUACC